ACAACAUGUAUCAUGACUAACAAGAAAUGGACCUGGUUCCCAGUCUGCACAUUGUCAUAACUUGCUGGAGUAAGAUGUGCAGAAGGAAGUGUUGAAUAUACUCAGUGACGACAGGGAUGCCAUAAAUACAGUUGUAGAAGAAAUGUAGAAGCUUUCAAGAGGAAAAUGGACUAUCAUCUUUUGCAAGUGCCUGAUCAGCCGGAUUGUGGCAGCUAUGUGGGCCUGCAGGCCAUCUGCACCAAAAGCCUGGCAGACUAAGCAGUUAACACAAAAGCCUGGCCUCAGCCAGGCUGUGAGGAUGCAAGAACCCUCAGAAUAUGUUACAGGACUGGAAGUAGCUUGAAAUCUACCUCAGUUUUGCUGAUGUUCCUUGAGGAAGGGUAAGGCCCCCUACAACCCUGGGUCUGUUUUAUGGAUUUUUACGAAGCAGUUUCUACAACAUAGCUGAAUCUCUUAACAGGAAACUUCAUGAUUGCUGUCCCACAGCAACAGUCAGUACAUGUAUAUGGAAGAACACUGCAACAGACCUACUGGCCCAAGUUAGGACCUGCUUCCCAGUCUGCACAUUACCAUAGCUUACUGGAGUAAGAUAUGCAGAAGGAAAUGAAGAAUAAACUCAAAGACAGGGAUGCCAUAAGCACAUUUGUGGAAGAAACUUAGAAGCUUUCAAGGGGGAAAAUGGACUACCAUCUUUUGCAAGUGCCUGAUCAGUGUGUGAUGGCUAUGUGGGCCUGCAGGCCAUCUUCACCAAAAGCCUGGCAGACUAAGCAGUCAAUAGGAAAGUCUGGCCUCAGCCAGGCUGUGAGGAUACAAGAACCCUCAGAAUAUGUUACAACUGUGUUGGGUGAGGUAGUUAAACGAAGCCUGCCUGUGACAUAUGCCUACUAUGGAAUAUCAUUAGAUGAGGAGAGUAAUGGGUUCAAUUCCUGUGAGUUUCACUCAAGAUUCCUUCAUCUGUGGCAUACUACCAUCAGUCUUCAUUCAGCAUUGGAUUGAGAUGGUAAAGUAAAAUACACAUUAUCUAUGAUACGUAUUAUGUUUGUAGCAGGAUCUCCCUUUCCAUGUAUGAUUUCAGAACUUUUUUAAAAACAAGUUUAUAUCUCUGCACCUUUAGAUUAACAUUCUGGUCCAUACCUACAUAAAAAGUUUGAGACAUCCUGAUGUCAUAGCCCUCUGACUUAGAUAUACAGUAGAACCACUCUGUGGAUUCAGUUAUCCACGGUUUACUAUAAUCCUUAAUUUGCUUAAUAAUGACCCCAGAGCACAAAAGUAGCGACAGCAGUUCUUCAAGGUCUAAGUCUUGGACAGGCUGUAAAGUGCUUCCAAUUAAUGAUGAUUCAAGGCACUUGCAUCUAUGGAAAUUGGGUUCUUUGAUUACUAGUUGGGCUUCGUUAAAGUUCAUCAGGUGGUUGGCAGAAUUCCAGUGUUGUACACAGGCACUGUUCAUUCCUACAUGCCUUUGUGUUCUCUGAUAUGUGUUUCAAAGUUUCCUGCCAUUUCCCCUACAUAUAUUCUGUCACAGCCUCCACAGGGAAUAGUAUAAACCUCUGCAUUGAUUGGAUCAAUGUUUAUUAAUUUUGUCCUAGUCAGAUCUUUCAUGGAAGUACUAGUGUUGGCUUGUGCGAGCACUUUAGACAUUCAUUGCAACCUGGCUGCAAGGAAGAAUUAUAACCUUGUUAGGAGUAGUGUAGUGUGUGGAGAAUUGAUGAUCUGAAGAGCUCUUUUCUUGCAAUCUUUGAUGAAAAAAGGAAGUGAAAUGUAGAUCAGUGAAGGUUUGGAGUAUGUAAGUACACCUUAUCAAAUAACUCUGGAGUACAAAUUUGGUAUGGUCUUAGGAAAAAUCCAGUGAUGAUGCCUCUUUUGGGUUUAGUAUCUUGACUGGAAUAGAAAUGUGUGAGAUUGUUUUGUUUGUUGAUUUCCUGUACUCUUGAAACCUUAGACUGUUAUCUGACCAUACCACAGGCGGGGAUAGAACCCGCGAUCAGAGUCUCAAAACUCCAGACCGUUG